GCGUCGGUAGGGCAAUGGUUAUCAUACGCUCCCGGAAAGAGUGAGAUAUGGGUUCGAAUCCCGGCCGACGCA